GCUUUAGCCCAGUGGUAGGGUGUUGGCUUUACAUGCCGAAGGUCCCUGGUUCAAUCCCCAGCAUCUCCA